ACGCAGAGUGGGCUUCCGGUCUGAAGGAGGUGUGACGGGAUGAUAUCGGCUGCCAUCGCUCAGCCGAACAAUUUGGAGAAACAAUUUCAAGUGUGUGUUGGAGGUCUACAAAAACAGCCACCGUGCCCCGCCGCGCCCCCACACCCAGCGGAGCCGUCAUGUGGCAGGAGGCCCGCAAACAUGAGCGCAAGCUGCGCGGCAUGAUGGUGGACUACAAACGCCGCGGCGAGCGCCGGCGAGAGUACUACGAGAAGAUCAAAAAGGACCCGGCUCAGUUCCUUCAGGUUCACGGCCGGGCCUAUAAGAUCCAUCUGGACUCGGCCGUGGCGCUCGCCGCAGAAAGCCCCAUCAACAUGAUGCCCUGGCAGGGAGACGCCAACAACAUGAUUGACAGGUUUGACGUGAGGGCACACCUGGACUUCAUACUCACCUACACCCCUCCGCUCCUCAGCACAGCCACCCCAGAACAGGAGUCGGAGGAGAGGAAGUGCAACUAUGAGCGUUACAGGGGCCUAGUGCAGAACGACUUUGCCAGCAUCUCUGAGGAGCAGUGUUUGUACCAGAUCCAAAUGGACGAGCUCUAUGGUGGCCUGCAGAGGCCAAAUGAGGAUGAGAAGAAAAAGCUUGCUAAAGACAAGGCUACCAUUGGCUACACGUACGAGGACAGCACUGUUACGGAGCCUGGGGAGGAAGAAGAGAAAGGGGAGGAGGAUGACUCUGAGAACAGCGAAUCGGAGGAGGACGAGGGCAUCCCAGACAUUGACGUGGAGGUGGACGUUGACGAGCUCAACACAGAGCAGGAGUUGGAUCUGAACAAGAUGGCCAACCCAUAUGGAAUGGCAGAGGGAGAUUUUGUAAGGAUGCUGAGGAAAGACAAGGAUGAGGUGGAGGCCAUUAAACACGCCAAGGCUCUGGAGGCAGAGAAGGCCAUGUACUCGGGCCGUCGCUCUCGCAGACAGAGGAGGGAGUUCAGAGAGAAGAGACUGAAGGGCAGACAGAUCAGCCCACCCAGCUAUGCCAGGAGAGACAGCCCAACCUACGAUCCCUACAAACGGCCCCAGUCGGAGUCCAGUUCGGAGUCACGGUCCCGCUCCCGUUCCCCAGGCCCAGAGAAGAUCACAUUCAUCACCAGCUUUGGAGGCAGUGACGAGGAGGCUGCCGCGGCAACCCAAGCUCCACCCCCUGUCCACUCCGGCCACACUCCCGCCAACUUGCUGCAACACCCCGCAGGUCAUAGCAGGGGCUCCCGCAGACGCCGCUCUUCCUCCAGCCCUUCCUCCUCUUCCUCCCACUCUUCCACUCAUCGCUCCUCCUCUCGUUCCUCCUCUCACUCACGCCGCGACAGACGCCAUGGAGGAGGGAGGGACGGACGACAUUCCCGGUCGAGGCGGCGCUCCGACUCACGGUCCCGGGGCAGAGGAGCCAACGGAGGAGGGGGGUCACGGAGGAGAUACGACCGGACACAGUCACGCUCCAAUGACCGGGACAGGGAGCGAGAACGGGACAGAGACAGGGAUGUGGGUCGUCGCUUCGCAGCACGCAGACGCACACGGUCCAGCUCUAACUCUCGGCAGGGGGACCGUGCCAGGCCCGGGGGGGGUAGGCGGACUUCAGGAGGGCAUCGGAGGGGGGUCAGCAGCAGCCCUAGCCCCUCCCAGUCCCCCCAGCCCAGCUGCUCCCCCUCCCCCUCACACAGAGGAGGCCCGCCCUCUGCCACUGCUCUCUGUGACAAGCUGAGAAAGCCUGAUACUCCGGGUGGUAAAGAGACAGGAGCUGCCAAAGUCACCCAAGAUGACCCCGCAGGAGAAGCUGAAGAUACGCAUGCAGAAGGCCCUCAACAGGCAGUCCAAGGCGGAUAAGAAAGCAGCCCAGGCAAAAGUCACUCAGCAGGAAAAUAAGCGAGCGGAGCGCGAGGGAGAGCUCAGAGCCAUGGCACGCAAGAUCCGCAUGAAGGAGCGUGAGCGUCGGGAGAAAGAGAGGGACGAGUGGGAGAGACAGUACGGACGACAAAGCCACUCGCCCUCCCCAUCGAAAUAUGGUCGCGACCACAGCUCAUCCAGAAGGAGGUCCCGUUCCCGGUCGAGGAGUCCAUAUUACCGAUACUAAACAUACCGUUGGGACUCACCAACCCCCACACCCCUCCUCACCCUCUCCUCUGCCUACUCUUCCAGUGAGGAGAGGGGGACAAUGUCCUGAAUGGAAGAGUGGUAGAGAGAGACUGAAUGAGAGGUGGAGAUGGAGAGAGGAAAAUGGAGGAACUGAAUUGGAGGCCGGAGGUUGCUAUGAGUGACGGAUUUUGUACGUUAUUGCUGACAGCUUGUCACAUCUGGACACAUUUCAGUAUCUCAGUAAUUCUACAUACAUAUUCUCUCCUUUAUGAUGGCCUUAAGUUGCUUUUUCUCUUCUAUCUCUGCGCGCUCUUUCCCCCGUCCAUUCCAUCUCUCUCUGAGAAGGGGGUGUUGGCAUCACUGUCUUAUCACAGGAAUAGGAUGUAAAAGAAUCGGAUUGAAAUUUGACCUUCAUCUGUGUACAUCAUUUUCUUUGAUUUCAAAUGAGUGAACAUGAAUGAAAUCCUGAGGGGUUGUAAUAGCCCCGUGUGUGAGUAUGAAAACUAAUUUGUAUGCCAUGCCCCCCUAACAGCUCACCCUGUGAAUUGAGACAUGAUUGUACUCUUCUGAGGUAACAGAUGAAGUCUUUUUUUGUUUGUUUUAGUCCAACUAUGAUAAGAUGUCAAACUGGGAAGUCCAAAUAAAACGCACAGAAGUAUCUGAUGUAGUAGGUCUA